CAUAAGCCGAUUCAUGUGGAUGAGAUUUUCAUUUCGUGGUGUGACAGCUGUGCAUGGCCAUCUGGAAUGUGGCUUAUAUUCACAUCGCUGCUACCACUGCUGAAAUGCACCACCCACCACCUCACUGUGCUCGCAUCCACUGUUUGGUCUCCAUAAAUGUUCAGCAGGCAUUGAUGAAUGCCAAUUGGUGCCAGUUUUUCUCACAUGAAAAAAUUUAGUUCCACGCCUUUAAUUCAUCCGCACUUCCGUGUCAGACACCAUUCUGUCAGACUGCCCCUCUGCUGCCAGCUGUUGCACAGCAACAAAAUGUGACAGGAUAUUGGCAGAAAGGUUCAGGAUCUACUGCCAUACCACCAACAUCCGUCUCUGAUGUUGUGGGCCAACAUAAUAAAAUAGGAGACACAGCUUUCAGAGCAGCCCUUGAAAAUGAGCAGCAGGUCCGUGUAUGGUCACUACCGUGGCAAAUGGAUGGAGGCACUAAGGAUGGGGGGGUGGACGUGAGAAUGUGAUAUCUCUGUACUUGGGGGAGUCUGUCUGUAGUGCAGCCAAGCUCUGCUGCUAAAGUUUUCAUGAAGAAACUAGAACCAGCAAGCAAACAAACAAACAGAAACAAAAACAAAAUAACAGAAUGGUCACAAAAAUUCUUGCUUCAUUUUAUGUUAUUAAAAAAUUCUCUAGCAUAAACAGCAAGUUUUUUAAAUCUUAAAUAAGUUUUUCACGUGCAGUAAAUACAUCAAAUUUAGUUUUAAGUAUUCUAAAGUUCCUAGCUUGAGUAGUUUCUUAAUCAAAGUAGCUGAAAUAUUUUUUUUUAUAAUUUCUUGAUCUGUGUAGAUGCAGUCUCUUUGUGAUUAAACUGUGUUCAGUUUCAUAAAUAGAAGUGUGGGUAUUAAAAUCUUGCAGAGGUAUUAGAGGAGAAGAAUGUCAGAUUUCUGAUUCUGUGUCACAGAAGCUGAAGUACAAAAGGAUGAAUUUAGUGAACAGCCAAAAAUAAAACAAAAACUUGUGCCAGAACAGUAACACCUCUGCAGCACACUGACUACUGCCAUGUCUUUUGUAUUCUCUCCACUGCAACAUUUUGUCAAAAACAAAUAGGCAACUCUAGUUAAUGACACAGGGAUUUAAUACAAAUCUGUGGUCCCCCCAGACUGACGGAUCUAAAUUGCAGAGUCAAUCAUCAUAGUAAAAGUCAUGAAC
ensembl:lncRNA